UACGAAGGGGGCUAGCGUUGUUCGGAAUUACUGGGCGUAAAGCGCGUGUAGGCGGCCCGGUAAGUCCGCUGUGAAAGUCGGGGGCUCAACCCUCGGAUGCCGGUGGAUACUGUCGGGCUUGAGUACGGAAGAGGCGAGUGGAAUUCCUGGUGUAGCGGUGAAAUGCGCAGAUAUCAGGAGGAACACCAAUUGCGAAGGCAGCUCGCUGGGACGUUACUGACGCUGAGACGCGAAAGCGUGGGGAGCAAACAGG
rnacentral:rRNA from 1 species